AAUUGAAUUAUUCUACAGAUAUAAUUUUGGAAUCGGGUGAUGUAAACACGAGUUGCUAUGAUUAUCGCAUUUGGAAUCAUAAAGACCUGAACUUUCAAGAUACUGACAUGAAAUUUCGUUUUAUGCCAAAAGCUAAGAAUGGCGAGCAAACCUAUACAACACAGGGCUUAAGAAUGUCAUGUGAUCACGAUUUUUCAUCAUACGGUUUAAAUUUGGAGACAGAUAAAAUAUAUCCUUUAAAUACAAAGUGGAAAUUCUCGGAUCGCACUAAAGUUUGUCAGGCCACAGAAAGGUCGAGCGAAAUGUUAAAAACUUGUGGGAAAACAUUGUUCAAGGCAUUUCAGGAUAUUAUAUUUGUUAGCAAUGACUGACAUUGCCAUUUAUGUCAUAUCUGAGGCUUUAUUUUAAUAUAAACAUAUGAAAUAAAAGGUACUCUAGUCUCUACUUACGCCUUUUGGUAUCCUGUAACCACAAAUGACCAUAUCUUUCUGUAAUGUUCUACCGUUUCCUAUCACAGUUGAAUACAUCCUAAAAAUGUCAUUAAAUAUUAUUUGCAUAACUUUAAAUCACACGAUCAAACUUACCGUAAUACUUCUUUGAUAAAUGCUUUCAAAUAAAUCAUUUUUUCCAAUUUACUCGCAUCUAAUUUGUCGUCUUUGUUGGGAAGCACUUUUAACAUUUCUUGAUAUAUUUUUUCUUGUUCUUCAGGCCUCGUCGCUAUUUGAUAAAGCAUUGAACAUACAGCCAUCGAUAUCUAGAAAAUCCGCCAUAAAUAAAAUAUUAUAAUAAUCUGAAUUAGCACUUUGUACAUUGUAAUUUAUUUACUAAUUAAAAUACCGUGUCUAUUCCGACAAGAAUAAGAUCCAACGCUAAUACGUAGGCAGUUUUGGGAUCGGGUUCGUUAGCUAAUAUUCUUUCCACCAAAGACAAUUCGCUUUCAUUGACUAUCGCUGGUUUGGUUUUUAAUCUCAGCAUGGCGUCAUCUAUAUACUUCAUACAUAUUCUAAAACAUCAUAGUUUAUUUUAAUGUAGGUAAAAUUACUUGUUUAUAAAAUCAUUCUUUAAUAAAACUAAUUUAUCUAUUAACCUAACCUAUUAAGUUACUAACCAAUGGUUGAAUUUAAACAAACAACGAUUUAGGUACCAACUUACUCGAUAAAAUAGUCCAUGUUAGACACGUAUUUCUUCCAAAGCGUUGACGGCAAAUAACGCCAAAAUGGAUAUUUUAGUUCUAGCAGAGCUACAUUACGAAGAGCGUAUUUCGCUGCAUCUAUAAUCUUUUGCGGCUCUGAAUUAUGAGGUAAAUCGGGUCUCAAACAACCCAGUCUAGCAUCUAAAGCCACUCGACCUAUGCACUCCAAUGCCCACUUGUGAAUUUCAUUGUCGAAAUCAGCAGGCAUUUCAGAAUUUUCGUUUUUCAUUUCUUGCAUUCUAAACAUAAUUAAUACAUUUAUAUUUAUUUGUAAAAUCCGGGAUCGUUUUACUAUAUUCUAUAGUCGUACAACUACGUAAUAUUAUUUUAUACCUUUGGAUAAAGUAGUCGGAGACUUCUUCGAUGGGCUGUAUAUAUUUUUUUACGGUUUGAGGCUGUAGUACUGGCUUUUGAACUUUAGUUCUAAAUUCUCUCCAUGGUUCUCCAUGCCUAUAAUAUACAAUGUGACAUUUAAUUAAGUAUUAAAUAGUUAUAUUAUUUUCUUUUUUCCUACACUUACACGCCGACUACUCCGGGAAGUCUACCGAAAAACUGUUUUCGAACUUGACUCUUGUACUUAACUAAGCAAGGCAUAGAGGGUCUAAAUGGCGUAUCUCCUUCUUGUCUGUAAACUUUUUCUAUUUCGUCGGCAUCGUAAACGAACAAUAAAUCCGGACGUCCAACAAGAUUACCGAGUUUUGCCAUUUUUCCGUAUUGCUUGUAAAGUACGUACGAUACAUUAGCCAAAUCCGAUAUCUGGUAAGGACCUAUUGGAACCAAGAAAGACUUAACCAAAUAUAAUUCAAUUGUGUUUACUUAUCAAAGUCAAUAGUUAUAUGUCAUUACCAAUGAUCGGUAACAUUCUCCAAGUAUUUCCGAUAAUUGGCCAUGGAGUUGGUCCCGGAACAUCACAGUAGGGUUUGGCUUUAGCUAAGUUUUCAGCUUCAUCAAAUGAGUCGAUAGUUCCUGAAGACACAGCUGGUGCAGCAGCAGUUGACCGCCAUCUCGUCGAAAUAUGGGAUAAACGCAAUUUUUUCAUUAUGGCUUUCUUAGUUUUAAGUUCAUUCAAUUUAACUGUAUAAUACCUAUGUAUGAUCAAAUAUUAUAGCUUUAAUAUGGACCUGAGAAUUUCUUACAUUUUAUAAUUUUCAUUUUAUUUGCGUCUGGACCCAUGACAAACUUUAAAUCACUACACUGAUUUCUUACUAUAAAUAAUUUUUAUAAUCGUUCACCAAAAGUAUAAGUCUAUAUAAGAUGGACUCCUAUAUUAUAGGUGCGUUACAUUAACUCCGUAUAGUGGGGUUAAUAGCCUUCUUUAGCCAACUAUUGUUGGCUAGAGAAGAGUAGGAAUACGAUUAAAUGAGAAAAGUCGCCGAUUGUGACUUCCUUAUUUAUGAGACAGACUAAGU